UAUAUAUAUAUACCAUAUUUUAAAAAUCCAUUCAUUCAUUGAUGAGUACUUUGGUUUUUUCUAUAUCUUGGCUAUUGCAAAUAAUGCUAUAGUGAACAUGGGAUUGCAGACAUCUCUUCAGAGUGCUUGCUGUUUAACUCUUAAGGGAAUCUUUUGUAAUUAGUUUCAUACACUUAGCAAAGACUUCUGAGAAAUUAGUGCAUUAUAAGAACUGAAAUCAAUAUCAGGCAUCCUGUAGGGCUAACAAUGGUGUUAUCUAUCUAGUAAUGUCAGUGAGCUUCCAUGUAAAGUAUAAAAUCUUACAUGCCAUGCCUCCCACAUUAAUAAUUUUGUAAAAACACUUUGGAAAUAAGCAAGCACUUAAAUACUUCCUGAUAUGAACUGUUAUUUACUAAAAUGCUGGUUUCCUUCUGAAAAGUUUUAAAAGCUGAACUUACAGCUUUUAAAAUCAUUUGUAAAUGGUAGAAACAAAACUUUUAAAAUAUCAAAAACAAAGAUUGCUAAGCUUUAAUGAUGUUUCCAUAAACCAAUAUGGCUACACUGCAUUAAGUAGUGUAUGUGUACAAUUUGUUAUACUAAAGGACAGACUGAUGACUUUUCAGGAAUAAAUACAUUAUUAAAAUGAGGCAAAUCAAUUAUUUAGUUGAAUACAAAUCCUUCCUACUUUUAUUCCUAGUUCUUAAUUCUCUGGAACACUGAUUGCUAUCACUUCUUGUUGCAUAAUCUGUGAGGAGAACUGCUGUGGCUUCCUAAAUAAGGCUUUUGAAAGAGCCAGUGGUUGGUCAGAAAAACAUGUGACUAGAAUCCCUCUUUAUUGGCAGCAGGACCUUAGGCAAGUCAUUUCAACUCUUUGAACUUUUGCUUCCUCCUCCUUAAAAAUGUUCUACACCUGUUUGCCUUUCCCAUAGGCUGUGGCAAAUUCAAAUGAGAGUUCCUGUGGAAGUACUUGGAAGCAGCAAAGGCAUAUGUGAAUGUCAGAUGUUAAAAGUAGUUCAGAGCAUAUGGCUAUCAUCGAGCUCUAUCACUCCUGAAAUUUUACUUACCAGAAGUGAAGUACUAGAAGGAAGACUUCAAAUAUUAUCUUGGUUUUCCUAAGAGUUCUAAAUAAUCAAGGAAAGGAGAAUGAGGAAACCUCUUAUGACCUAGAUUUUUUCAUCAUCUUCCAGCUACCUAUUGAGCCCCUGUGCUGUACCAGGCCACGUAUGAGGUGCCACAUCUUCCACGGCAAAUAAGACAGAAAUGACCCUGCCCUAUAGGAGCAUGCAGCUGCAGGACUGUGUGCACCACAAACUUAGCCCUUCCAGCUUUACCACUGGACUGUACAAGCCCUGAAAGCAAGAACUGUGUUCAUGGCAUCUUGAUAUCCCCAUAUGGAGACGUUUUGGAGAUUUUAUUUAUAAGAAAGAGAUUUUACACCGAAGAGGCUUUUAAAUCUGUUAACAGACUGGACCAGCUUUCUCCUCCCCAUUGGCGGGUUAGUGAUCCCUCCAUGCCAACCCGGUUUUCAGAGACACCAAGGCCAGCUCUACAAAGACCCAGGAAAAAAUUACUUCAUGUCCCUGUAAAAACUUUUUCACAAACUUAAGUGCACCGGCUUUGAAAUGAGACAGAAUUGGGAUCAAGUCCAUGUUCCACCCUUACCAGAAGGUCUUUUGGUUGCUCACAAGGGGACAUCAAAGAUGACAGAAAGGAGUGGAAGAAGACGGAGAGAAUCAAUGUGAGGAGCCGGGAACAGGGUUCUGAAUUGUCCUUCCACAGUGAAAUCACUUGGCUAUAGCUGAGCCACGGAUUUGACUCUGAGCAUCUAGGAUGAGAAAGAGGAACUGGCAUCUGUCCAUCUCUGCCCCAUGGGACUGACUGUUUUGGAACAUCCGGCCGGAAGCCCAUUAAAGAGCGGAAGAGCAGAAAUGCGGAGGAGGAAUUCAACAUCUGCUCCACCAGCAUGUUCCUUGGUCUCUCUCAUCUGCUUCCGUAGCUGGAUCACAUUCCUGGAUCUUACCAGGAAAACUGAAAGAAUUCACAGAGCCUUUGAAAAAAGCAGCAGGCUGUAGCCUACUCCAUGAGACAGGUGAAAAAUUUCUUCUAGUAAAAUUGAUGCUCCAAGAAGAUACACAACGUUGGCUGUGUGGAUUCUGCUAUCUUCUACCUGGAUCUCAGCCUGGAUCUUGUGCAAGUUUGAGAAGCAUAGAUUAGCUACAGAUUUCUUCAUUAAAACUUUCCCCCAAAGAGGAAAGCAUACGUCUAGCAAAUACCCCAUCAAGUUAAAACUGAGAUGGUGGGACCACCCUCUGUACCUAUGAAGUGGCAUUGAGUGCACAGAUGCUAUGCUAGAGAGAGCAUGUGGGGAGACUCCACAGAGAGUGAUGUCCAAGGAUCCUCUGCUGUUCCCGCCUUUGAGCCAACCCAGCUGAUGCCAGUAGAGCAGAGAUGCGCUGUCCCGACCAAGUCCUGCGAAGAUUGCAGAUUUGUGAACAAAGAUGGCCAGUUGAAGUCAAAGGGGGCUUUCAAGAAGGAUCUAAUGAAGGCUUGUAAGAAGAACCUUCCUACCAAUGAAGUCAACAAGCCUAUCUUCAUGGGAAGCCACCUUUCCUGGAGAAGAAAUCUUGCUUCUUGGAGACGACUGCCUUUAAGCUCAUGGAUUAACGUACCAGGAUGUUAAAUUGACUUUCAUUGUAUUCUUAGAGCCUUAACUGAGACCCCAGAACAAAGAAAGAGCCUACACAUAUCCCUUAAUUGACUUGAAGAAGGCCAAGAGAGGUAUUUCUAAGUAACUGAAGUAAUGCUUGAAUGUUGGCCGAAGAGCACUGCAGUGCACGUAAGCUCUGGUGAACCCCAUCUAAUCAGUUGCAAGCUUAGAGCCAAAACUGAAGUUUUCUAGAGAAGAAAUUCAGCGUCAAGACUGUAGCCUAGAAGUCCUGCCCAAGUUUCCAACCUGCUGGCCUGCCCUAUGGAUUUCAGAUUCAAGACUGCAACAUCAACUUUUACUUGAAAUUCCAGCCUACAGGCAAGAGCGCUUGGAGACCAGAGCAACUGUCCUGCUCAUUCUACAGGAAGAGAAAUAGACACCCAGAGGAACAAAGCGAUUUGCCUGAGGUCACAAACCAGGGUGAUGGAGGUCUGCUAUUGAUGCCUUGUUCAAUUAUUUUUCAAGGGAAUUUACAUCCCAGUGGGGAAGAUGAAGAAACAAACAGAUGAAUAAAGAAGAUGAUUCCAACUUGGAAAAACAGUGAUGAAGUAGGUAAUGCAUUGGAGGAUGACCUGAAGGAAGGUGUAAGAGACUACCUUAUGCAUGGACCUGAGAGACUGGGUCAAGGGAGACCUAAAUGAAAAAAGGACACUUGAGUUGAUUCUUGAACUACGAGAAUAGGUAAGUCAUGCAAAGAGCUGGGGAAGAGGGGAAGAUUCUGAAGGAUUGUCAUGAGCAAGGAAUAGAAAGGAGACCAGUUUUAGGGACCAAGUGCAGUGGCUCACGCCUGUAAUCUCUGCACUUGGGAAGGCUGAGGUGGGUGGAUCACAAG